rnacentral:tRNA from 1 species
CCUUUGAUAGCUCAUUUGGGCAGAGCGGUGGACUGUAGAUCCAUAGGUCGCUGGUUCGACUCCGGCUCGACGGA